rnacentral:rRNA from 1 species
UACAGAGGGUGCAAGCGUUAAUCGGAAUUACUGGGCGUAAAGCGUGCGCAGGCGGUUAUAUAAGACAGUUGUGAAAUCCCCGGGCUCAACCUGGGAAUUUCAUCUGUGACUGUAUAGCUAGAGUACGGUAGAGGGGGAUGGAAUUCCGCGUGUAGCAGUGAAAUGCGUAGAUAUGCGGAGGAACACCGAUGGCGAAGGCAAUCCCCUGGACCUGUACUGACGCUCAUGCACGAGAGCGUGGGGAGCAAACAGG